CCUUUACUGACGCUAAAGCUCGAAGGUGCGGGUAUCGAACAGGAUUAGAUACCCUGGUAGUCCGCACGGUAAACGAUGGAUGCCCGCUGUUUGCGAUAUACUGUGAGCGGCCAAGAGAAAUCGUUAAGCAUCCCACCUGGGGAGUACGCCGGCAACGGUGAAACUCAAAGGAAUUGACGGGGGCCCGCACAAGCGGAGGAACAUGUGGUUUAAUUCGAUGAUACGCGAGGAACCUUACCCGGGCUUGAACUGCAGCGGAAGGAUACAGAAAUGUUGACGCCCUUCGGGGCCGCUGUGGAGGUGCUGCAUGGUUGUCGUCAGCUCGUGCCGUGAGGUGUCGGCUUAAGUGCCAUAACGAGCGCAACCCUUUUCAUUAGUUGCCAUCAGGUAAUGCUGGGCACUCUGGUGAUACUGCCACCGUAAGGUGUGAGGAAGGUGGGGAUGACGUCAAAUCAGCACGGCCCUUACGUCCGGGGCUACACACGUGUUACAAUGGGAGGUACAGAGAGACGGUUGUACGUAAGUGCGAUCAAAUCCUAAAAGCCUUCCUCAGUUCGGAUUGGGGUCUGCAACCCGACCCCAUGAAGCUGGAUUCGCUAGU
rnacentral:rRNA from 1 species